rnacentral:rRNA from 1 species
GCCGAUGAAGGACGGGACGAACACCGAUAUGCUCCGGGGAACUGUAAGUAAGUUUUGAUCCGGAGAUUUCCGAAUGGGGCAACCCACCAUAUUGAGAAGUAUGGUAUAUACUAAGUGAAUACAUAGCUUAGUGUAAGGAACACGCGGUGAACUGAAACAUCUCAGUAGCUGCAGGAAGAGAAAACAAAUGUGAUUCCCAUAGUAGCGGCGAGCGAAAUGGGAAGAGGCCAAACGAUCAUGCUUGCAUGAUCGGGUUGUAGGACUCAAGAAUGGA